AGUGAACGCUGGCGGCGUGCUUAACACAUGCAAGUCGAACGAGAACGGAUUAUAGCUUGCUAUAAUUGUCAGCUAAGUGGCGCACGGGUGAGUAAUGUAUAGAUAACCUGCCCUCAAGAAAGGAAUAACAGUUGGAAACGACUGCUAAUGCCCUAUAUGCCUUUAAUACAUAAGUAUGCAAGGGAAACGCUUUAGUGCUUGAGGAUGGGUCUGUAUGGUAUCAGUUAGUUGUGGGGUAAUGGCCUACCAAGACAAUGACGCCUAACUGGUUUGAGAGGAUGAUCAGUCACACUGGAACUGAGACACGGUCCAGACUCCUACGGGAGGCAGCAGUGGGGAAUAUUGCACAAUGGACGAAAGUCUGAUGCAGCAACGCCGACGUGGAGGAUGGACACA
rnacentral:rRNA from 1 species